GAGGAGGUGGCCGAGUAGUUAAGGCGAUGGCCUGCUUAUACAUUGGCCUCUGCCUGCGUGGGUUCGAAUCCCAUACUCGUCU